GAUGAAGAACGUAGCGAAAUGAGAUAAGUAAUGUGAAUUGCAGAAUUCAGUGAAUCAUCGAAUCUUUGAACGCACCUUGCACCCCUUGGCAUUCCGAAGGGUAUGCUCGUUUGAGUGUCAUUGUACUCUCACACUCUCCGAUCCUAUGGAUUCGGGAGCGGUGGACUUGGGUGUUGCUGCCUUUCCUUGUGGCUCACCUCAAAUGUGUCAGUGCACCUCUUGGUUGGACAUAGUACGGCGUGAUAAGUGUCUUCGCCGGCACCUCGCAAGAGGGUGGCCGAUCGGGAGCUCUGUGCUUUCAAACCGUCUUCGGACAAUUUCUGACAACUUGACCUCAAAUCGAGCAGGACUACCCGCUGAACUUAAGCAUAUCAAUAAGCGGAGGA
rnacentral:misc_RNA from 1 species